rnacentral:rRNA from 1 species
GUCGACGAUUAGAGUUUGAUCCUGGCUCAGAUUGAACGCUGGCGGCAGGCCUAACACAUGCAAGUCGAGCGGAUGAAGAGAGCUUGCUCUCUGAUUCAGCGGCGGACGGGUGAGUAAUGCCUAGGAAUCUGCCUGAUAGUGGGGGACAACGUUUCGAAAGGAACGCUAAUACCGCAUACGUCCUACGGGAGAAAGCAGGGGACCUUCGGGCCUUGCGCUAUCAGAUGAGCCUAGGUCGGAUUAGCUAGUUGGUGAGGUAACGGCUCACCAAGGCGACGAUCCGUAACUGGUCUGAGAGGAUGAUCAGUCACACUGGAACUGAGACACGGUCCAGACUCCUACGGGAGGCAGCAGUGGGGAAUAUUGGACAAUGGGCGAAAGCCUGAUCCAGCCAUGCCGCGUGUGUGAAGAAGGUCUUCGGAUUGUAAAGCACUUUAAGUUGGGAGGAAGGGCAUUAACCUAAUACGUUAGUGUUUUGACGUUACCGACAGAAUAAGCACCGGCUAACUUCGUGCCAGCAGCCGCGGUAAUACGAAGGGUGCAAGCGUUAAUCGGAAUUACUGGGCGUAAAGCGCGCGUAGGUGGUUUGUUAAGUUGAAUGUGAAAGCCCCGGGCUCAACCUGGGAACUGCAUCCAAAACUGGCAAGCUAGAGUAUGGCAGAGGGUGGUGGAAUUUCCUGUGUAGCGGUGAAAUGCGUAGAUAUAGGAAGGAACACCAGUGGCGAAGGCGACCACCUGGGCUAAUACUGACACUGAGGUGCGAAAGCGUGGGGAGCAAACAGGAUUAGAUACCCUGGUAGUCCACGCCGUAAACGAUGUCGACUAGCCGUUGGGAUCCUU